UUUGCUUCUUAGCCUUUUGGCUAAGAUCAAGUGUAGCAUCUGUUCUUAUCAGUUUAAAUCUGAUAUGUCCUCUAUCUGAGGACAAUACAUUAAAUGGAUUUUUGGAGUAGGGAGUUGGAGCUUGCUCCAUCCACUCCACACGUCGGCCUGGCACUGCAGUACCUCCAGGAAUAGUCCACCCUCC
ensembl:snRNA U2 U2 spliceosomal RNA